UUAGAGUUUGAUCAUGGCUCAGGAUGAACGCUAGCGGGAGGCCUAAUACAUCGCAAGCCGAACGGUAACAGGGCAGAACUUCGGUUCAGCCGCUGACGAGUGGCGCACGGGUGAGUAACGCGUACAUAACCUGCCUUCAAGAGAGGGAUAGCCCUGGGAAACCGGGAUUAAUACCUCAUAGUAUUGCUAAGUCGCAUGGCUGUGCAAUUAAAGUUUCGGCGCUUGAAGAUGGAUGUGCGUGCCAUUAGCUAGUUGGUAAGGUAACGGCUUACCAAGGCAACGAUGGCUAGGGGGCGUGAGAGCGUGACCCCCCACACGGGUACUGAGACACGGACUCGACUCCUACGGGAGGCAGCAGUAAGGAAUAUUGGACAAUGGAGGCAACUCUGAUCCAGCCAUCCCGCGUGCAGGAUGACUGCCCUACGGGUUGUAAACUGCUUUUAUUUGGGAAGAAACCUGUUUAUUUACUGAACAGUUGACGGUACCUUAUGAAUAAGCACCGGCUAACUCCGUGCCAGCAGCCGCGGUAAUACGGAGGGUGCAAGCGUUAUCCGGAAUCACUGGGUUUAAAGGGAGCGUAGGCGGCAUGAUAAGUCAGAGGUGAAAGGCUGUAGCUUAACUAUGGAAUUGCCUUUGAUACUGUUGUGCUUGAAUCGAGUUGAGGUCAGCAGAAUGUGACAUGUAGCGGUGAAAUGCAUAGAUAUGUCAUAGAAUACCAAUUGUGAAGACAGCUGGCUGGACUUGUAUUGACGCUGAGGCUCGAAAGCGUGGGGAGCAAACAGGAUUAGAUACCCUGGUAGUCCACGCCCUAAACGAUGUUUACUCGAUGUUGGCUUUUGAAGUCAGCGUCCAAGGAAACCAUUAAGUAACCACCUGGGGAGUACGUCGGCACGAUGAACUCAAGGAUUGACGGGGUCGCACAGCGUGAGCAUGUGUUUAUUCGAUGAUAC
rnacentral:rRNA from 1 species